GGAGAGGUGGCAGAGUGGUUGAAUGCGCCGCUCUCGAAAAGCGGUAUACCGCAAGGUAUCGAGGGUUCAAAUCCCUCCCUCUCCGCCA
rnacentral:tRNA from 1 species